UCAAGGUUCCCUGCCUCUUGUGGGGCAAGGGAUGAAAAGGGAAUCAGGUGAGAAUCCUGAGCAGUACCCGCUGCUGUAACUCCCUGACAACACUUCGCGCGGCAUCAUGCCACUGGUUGCAAACGCUUGGAGUAUGCAUCAUCACCGGGAAGGCGCCGACGCGAAGGGGGAGAAGCCAGAAGACCUGCCUUCAC
rnacentral:ncRNA from 1 species